rnacentral:rRNA from 1 species
AUUGAACGCUAGCGGGAUGCUUUACACAUGCAAGUCGAACGAGUGGCGGACGGGUGCUUAAUAUAUCGGAACGUGCCCAGUAGCGGGGGAUAACUACUCGAAAGAGUGGCUAAUACCGCAUACUUUUGGAGCGGCCGAUAUCGGAUUAGCUAGUUGGUGGGGUAAAGGUUGACCAAGGCCACGAUCCUUAGCUGGUUUGAGAGGACGACCAGCCACAAUGGGACUGGGACGCGGCCCAGACGCCUACGGGAGGCAGCAGUCGGGAAUCUUGGACAAUGGGGGCAAUCCUGAUCAAGCCAUCCCGCGGGUAUGAGAAGGCCUUCGGGUUGUAAAGUACUUUUGUAAGAGCAGCGGUAGCUGCAGAAUAAGCACCGGCUAACUACGUGCCAGCAGCCGCGGUAAUUC